rnacentral:lncRNA from 1 species
CCUGGCUCUGUUAACAAGAGUUUUGGCAGUGCUGAGGCUGCUCUCCGUAAACCAUCUGAGUUAACAGUCAGUCUCAUAAAGCUGCCAGCUUGUGGAAACACUGCACCAAACAUCUCCCAUCAUCAGAAGCCCCUACAGGAAGAAGGGAAAUCAGCUCUGCUGUAAGGAAAACUUGUUGCUCAAGUGCUCUGGAUAGGCCAUCCCUCCCUCAAGGACUCAGCAGCCAUGGUCCUGCAGUUCUUCUCACACAUACACACCAUCAGUUUUCUAAAGAAUCUACAGCAAUUGUGACACUACAAGAAGACAAAAAUCCUUGCAAAAGCAGCUGUGACCAGCUACAGCCACCCAGGGCAUGGGGUGGCUCUGGCCAUGCAAUGGCUACUGAGGGAAGGGAAUACCUCCUCCAGCUACACCUGACUCUGAUGAGCUGCAGCCCCUGGUUAGUCUUCACAAAGAUGGAAGCCACAUAGGAGCCAUUUGGACCAGUCACUUGAUUUGCAUCAUGUCCAGAUUUUAAAACGUGGGACAGAAAAUAGAGAGAUGAUGGAAGUGAUGGGAGAGAAGAGUAUUGGACUGAAGGGCAAUCCAGAUGAUCCAGGUGGUAAGGAUGUGGGGUCAAUGCUUCUUGGAAGGAAACAGUAAACACAAGUAUACAGAAUGAAGAGUAUCAUCCAUAUCUACUCAUAAAGGAGCCCCAAGAAUACCUCUCGGCAGGAGACCAGAGAAAAGCUUGUCUUGUUAGCAGCUAAAAUCAUUACGUAUUCAUUGACUGAGACAAAGGCACUGUAUUCUCAGCCACUGGAGAGUUGCAUCAAAGCAUUGUGUCCACAGCUCCAGCUGUCUCCAAAUUGACCAGAUCAAGAGAAGCAAAGAACUGCAUCCCCACUAUUUAGAGUAGGAGUAACACAAAGGGAAAAAAAAAAAAAAAAAAAAAAAAAAAAAGCAGAAGUGGAAUUAACUUUAUUCAUGUAUUAAGGAAGAAUAAUAGAAAUGCUUUCAUUGUCUCAGCAGAGGUGCCAGUUACAAUUAUUCCAGUCCCACAGAAGGAGAUAAAGGCCUUCAAGUAGAUAAAUAAAAUCUUUGAAAAAAAAGGGAGAAUAAGAUGG